rnacentral:rRNA from 1 species
UACGUAGGGGGCGAGCGUUGUCCGGAAUUAUUGGGCGUAAAGAGCUCGUAGGCGGUCUGUCGCGUCGGCUGUGAAAACUCGGGGCUCAACCCCGAGCCUGCAGUCGAUACGGGCAGACUAGAGUGCUGUAGGGGAGACUGGAAUUCCUGGUGUAGCGGUGAAAUGCGCAGAUAUCAGGAGGAACACCGGUGGCGAAGGCGGGUCUCUGGGCAGUAACUGACGCUGAGGAGCGAAAGCGUGGGGAGCGAACAGG